rnacentral:lncRNA from 1 species
AAGUGACUCGCUCAGGGUCUUUUGGCAAACCGAAGCCUGGGUCGCCCAUCUUUGAGUUCUAGCUUUUCCCAGUCUAUCCUAACGCUUCUAAAGACCAGGCUUGCCGCAUGAGAAUUCACUGCUCAACUGUGUAUUUCUUGCUGUCUCUGCAGAUGAAAAGCUCCAUUCUGAACCUUCAACUGCUAGAAGUGGGGGAGUUAGACUUGUGGGCCCUAAAUGCCAAGAGGGUCUAGGAAGAAAAGGUUCUCAGACAUAUUCUCCUAUUUGAGUACCACUGUCCUGUGGAAGUUAUCUUGGUUCAAUUGCCAAUGCCAGAAAUAGGCUACUAGGGUGUUUCUUGUUUUUUUGUUUGUUUGCUCCUUUGAUAUUAGUUAUUAAUUGGACCAUGGGAGAUGAAAGGCAGGAAGAAAAUAAAUGGGUAGUUUUUAACGCCCUUAUUUAUUUAUUUAUUUAUGUAUUUAUGUAUUUAUUGGCUACACCCUUGGCAUACAGAAGUUCCCAAGCCAGGGAUCAGACCACAGCACUGCCACAUGGCCACGGCAGUGACAAUGCCUGAUCCUUAACCCACUGAGCCACCUGGGAACUCCUUAGCUCCAUACUUUAAAACGGAAUACUUUUUUUUUUCUCGUUUUUAGGGCCUCACCUGCAGCAUAUGGAAGUUCCCAAGUUAGGGGCCGAGUCAAAGCUGCAGCUGCCAGCCUACGCUACAGCCAGAGAAAUGCUGGAUCUUUAACCCACUGAGCGAGGCCAGGGAUUGAACCUACAUCCUCAUGUAUGCUAGUCGGGUCCUUAACCUGCUGAGCCACAGUGGGAACUCCAAAACCGAAACCUUUGAGAGGAGGAAGAGCUAGUCUUGUGGUUGACUUUCUCUAUCUAAGCCAUGGAUACACCUGUAACCCUCAAAGAAUUGAUCCCAAUUUACCGAUGGGGAAGUGACAUCAGAGAGAGGCCAAGCACUUGCCCAGGGUCAUUUGAUCACAGGAAACAGCCUUUCGGAAGCCUUGUUCCAGAAUUUGUGCUUCUAGUCCCAGAGGAUGGGGCUCCAGGCGCAAUACACACUGCUCUUCUCCAGACCUAUCCUGAGAGUUAUCCUCAGUAGGAGGUUGGUAUGAAUUAUCUGGGCCACCAUCACUUCUUUUCUAUAUCUCAAGAAGAAAUGAAGCAGGCCUUAAAAGUAAAAAGAAGUGGAGUUCCCAUUGUGGCGCAGCGGAAAUGAAUCCAACUAGGAACCAUGAGGUGGCAGGUUUGAUCCCUGGCCUUGCUCAGUGGGUUAAGGAUCUGGCGUUGCCGUGAACCGUGGUGUAGGUCGCAGACAUGCCUCAGGUCUGGUGUUGCUGUGGCUGUGGUGUACGCUGGCAACUACAGCUCUGAUUCAACCCCUAGCCUGGGAACCUCCAUGUGCCGAGAGUGCAGGCCUAAAAAGACAAAUAGACCAAAAAAAAAAAGAAAAAGUAAAGAGGUGUGGAAGAGUCCAAGAGUCCAAGGAUUUAAUGCUUCUUUAUUUUAUUUUAUUUUACAAUAUUUCUCUAUUUUUUAAACUUCUGUUAUUUAAGUGACUUAGAAAGAUAUCCUGAAGAUCUAAACAGACAGUUCUCCAAAGAAGACAUACCGAUGGCCAAAAAACACAUGAAAAGAUGUUCAACAUCACCCAUUAUUAGAGAAAUGCAAAUCAAAAGCACUAUGAGGAACCACCUUACACCAGCCAGAAUGGCCAUCAUCAAAAAGAGGGUGUGGAGAAAAUGGAACCCUAUUACACUGUUGGUGGGAAUGUAAAUUGGUGCAACCACUGUGGAAAACAGUAUGGAGAUUCCUCAGAAAACUAAAAAUAGAUCUACCUUUUGAUCCAGCAAGCCCACUCCUGGGCAUCUAUCCAGAGAAAACCAUGACUCGCAAAGACAUGUGUACUCCAAUGUUCACCGCAGCACUAUAUGCAAUAGCCAAGACAUGGAAACAACCUAAAUGUCCAUCAACAGAGGAGUGGCUCAAGAAGAUGUGGUACACAUACACAAUGGAAUAUUACUGAGCCAUUAAAAGGAACAAAAUACCUGCAUUUUUAGCAACAUGGAUGGACGGCAUUAGAGUAAUGGGGCAGGAGUGCUGGGGGGGCACCCACGGGAGCUGGCCACACACGUCAACAUCAUCAGCCUCAUCAGUCAGAAGUGAGGCAGAACCAGUAUGGAAAUCGCUUGGCUGGAUGCCCUCUAAGAUCCCAGCCAGGCCUACAUGUUCUGUUUCUGUGAUUUCCCAUAGAGGGAGUUGAAGGGGCAGAAGGCAGGGGACGGGGUGGCAAAAGAACCCCUGGCAUGUUCCUAAGGACUGAGAUGAGGACAAAAUAGAAUAGCAUGGACUGUGGAGAAAAGAGAGCCCUCCUACACUGGGAGGAGGUGGGAAUGUUGGUGGGAAUGUAAAAUUGUGCAACCACUGUAGAGAACAGUAUGGAGGUUCCUUAAAAAAUUAAAUAAUUUGGAGUUCCCGUCGUGGCGCAGUGGUUAACGAAUCCGACUAGGAACCAUGAGGUUGCGGGUUUGAUCCCUGCUCAGUGGGUUAACGAUCCGGCAUUGCUGUGAGCUGUGGUGUAGGUUGCAGACGCGGCUCGGAUCCUGUGUUGUUGUGGCUCUGGCGUAGGCCGGUGGCUGCAGCUCCAAUUCGACCCCUAGCCUGGGAACCUCCAUGUGCUGUGGGAGUGGCCCAAGAAAUGGCAAAAAGACAAAAGUAAAUAAAUAAAUAAAUAAAAUAAAGGGAUCGCCA